GUACUGUGAGUGUGUGUCUCCCCCUGUGUCAUGAUCCUGCCGUUGUGUCUUCAGAUAUCUGUCUGCCUCAGCCACUUUGGAUGACAUUUCCCGCUCUGAAGCAUACAAGAAGACUCAGGAGACUCUCUCCCAGGCGGGACAGAAGACCAGUGCAGCUCUCUCCACAGUGGGCACGGUCCUCAGCAGGCGACUGGGCGACAUGAGGAACUCUGCAACCUUCAAGUCCUUUGAGGACAGAGUGGGGACCCUGAAGACUAAGGUUGUCGGCCCCAGAGGAAACGGGGAGCCCGUCACCCCCACUGACACCACCCCCACUCAGGAGAACCCGCCUUUCUGAAUGCAUCCCUCCUCCUCCUCCUCCUCCUCGCUGCCACCUUCCUCACGACCUGAGACUGUACUGUUAACACCUCACAUCGCUGACCUUCGACCCUCCACUGCACCAACUCCACUCUCUUUGCCCUGAGGUCUGUCAGCGCAGACGGGCAGGGGGGGGGCAGGACUCGUGGGGUUGAGGUGGGACGAGCUUCCCAUCGCUGCUGGUCCCAUGGCCUCCAUUCCCCCGCCUCGCUGCGGGGGGAAAGGAAAAUGUUUUGUUGAUGUCUAAACCUGAAUCAUUUACAUCUUCACCCUAUUAAGACCCACAUGUGUAAGCUCAAAUAAGUUGUCAGACACCUUUUUUCAAACAGGUAGCUUCUGCAAAUCAUCUGGCUUACAAAAA